rnacentral:rRNA from 1 species
GACGAACGCUGGCGGCGUGCUUAACACAUGCAAGUCGAGCGGAAAGGCCCUUCGGGGUACUCGAGCGGCGAACGGGUGAGUAACACGUGAGUAACCUGCCCCAGACUUUGGGAUAACCCUCGGAAACGGGGGCUAAUACCGGAUACGACACAGCUUCGCAUGGGGUCUGUGUGGAAAGUUUUUCGGUUUGGGAUGGGCUCGCGGCCUAUCAGCUUGUUGGUGGGGUGAUGGCCUACCAAGGCGACGACGGGUAGCCGGCCUGAGAGGGCGACCGGCCACACUGGGACUGAGACACGGCCCGGACUCCUCCGGGCGGCCGCAGUGGGGCCUCUUGCCCCCUGGGCGGCAGCCUGCUGCCGCGACGCCGCGUGAGGGAUGACGGCCUUCGGGUUGUCCCCCUCUUUCCGCCGGGCCGCCGCGUCCGUGCCGGUCCCUGCCGCCGCCGCGCCGGCCCCCUCCGU